GACGAACGCUGGCGGCGUGCUUAACACAUGCAAGUCGAACGGAAAGGCCCUGCUUUUGUGGUGUGCUCGAGUGGCGAACGGGGGAGAAACACGUGAGUAACCUGCCCGUGACUUUGGGAUAACUUCAGGAAACUGGGGCUAAUACCGGAUAUGAGCUCCUGCUGCAUGGUGGGGGUUGGAAAGUUUCGGCGGUUGGGGAUGGACUCGCGGCUGAUCAGCUUGUUGGUGGGGUUGUGGCUUACCAAGGCUUUGACGGGUAGCCGGCCUGAGAGGGUGACCGGCCACAUUGGGACUGAGAUACGGCCCAGACUCCUACGGGAGGCAGCAGUGGGGAAUAUUGCACAAUGGGCGGAAGCCUGAUGCAGCAACGCCGCGUGCGGGAUGACGGCCUUCGGGUUGUAAACCGCUUUCGCCUGUGACGAAGCGUGAGUGACGGUAAUGGGUAAAGAAGCACCGGCUAACUACGUG
rnacentral:rRNA from 1 species